AGAGUUGAUCAUGGCUCAGGAUGAACGCUGGCGGCGUGCCUAACACAUGCAAGUCGAACGGGGUUAAGGGAAAUUUCGGAUGGAACUUAACUAGUGGCGGACGGGUGAGUAACGCGUGGAUAACCUGCCUCACACUGGGGGAUAGCAGCUGGAAACGGCUGGUAAUACCGCAUAAGACCCCGGUGCCGCAUGGCACCGAGGUAAAAGAUUUAUCGGUGUGAGAUGGAUCCGCGUCUGAUUAGCCAGUUGGCGGGUAACGGCCCACCAAAGCGACGAUCAGUAGCCGGCCUGAGAGGGUGAACGGCCACAUUGGGACUGAGACACGGCCCAAACUCCUACGGGAGGCAGCAGUGGGGAAUAUUGCACAAUGGGCGCAAGCCUGAUGCAGCAAACCGCCGCGUGAGUGAAGAAGUAUUUCGGUAUGUAAAGCUCUAUCGGCAGGGAAGAAAGGCCCGAAAGGGAGAUGACGGUACCUGACUAAGAAGCCCCGGCUAACUACGUGCCAGCCGCCGC
rnacentral:rRNA from 1 species